GAACCAAUAUGCAAUGUGUGUGUGUGUGUGUGUGUGUGUGUGUGUGUGUUUGUAUGUGUGUGUGGUGGGGGGAGCUCAGACAGAGCUGUGUGUCUGAUAGUUUAUACAGUCUAGUCCUGUUACACCAGAAUGGCACAGCCACUCUGAGAUCACACAGAGCAAUCACUACAGCUCAGAUAAAGGUGAUCCCCUCAUUCCAUCACUAACUUCUAAUAUAGAACACCCAGUGCUGUGAAUCAAUGGGCUCUGCAAGAACAAGUCUAUCACUCCUCCAGCAAAAGGGAAGCAUAGCACUAUGUAUCUACUUAAAUCUGGACUUCUGAUGUCUCUAAGCCACCUGCCUGCACAGUGAUUGGAGAGGGGAGAUUGCCUGUUGCUGAUCCACAGAGAAGCUGACUAAUUGCACUGUUGUUGCUGUGCACUUUUAAAGGACAUAUUUCACAAUUUAUACAGAUGCACCUGAUUUGGGGGAAACAGGGACUCUGUUGAAGGCAGGGACAGGAUAAAUAAUUUUGUCCAUUCUGCCAGGUGGAUAGAAUACCUGAAGACUCUAGCGCUCUCUUAGCACCAGAGUGGGGCAUCUUACCUGGACCUCCCUUCUUAUCAGGUGUAUGCAGAGAUGUGAAGAAUUUUGGAACCAUCAAGAGACAACAAUGACACACAGACAGGUAGGUUGGUAUCAGAAAUGAGUUCCCCCAUUACAAUAGAUACAAUAUUACAAUGAGAAAAUACAAUGAGAGCAGACACAUAGGAGAGCCUUUGGUCCCAGGUUGGUUAUUCUCUAAAUAGUUGCCCCUUUACAUGGACUGAAACUAUCUUAAUUAAGAGAGCACAGAAUUUUUAUUUUUUUUGUCUGCAAUGAAAAAUCCACAGCUGUCAGAUUCAGCAUAUAUACAGUGGCAUGUCACAGGAAAAGUGCUGCCCUGCAUUAAACAGCAUGUGCGUAUUGCAGGAUUGUUCUGAAUUAAUGUAUUCAUAUCACAAACCAUGAUUAACUGUGUCUCUUAAAAUUAAAUGAUGAUAUACUGGUUAUAUUUUGCUGCAGUGCUAAAUAACAAGAAAGAGUGAGAAUGUAAACUGUUUGGUAAAGGCUGCCUAUACAGCCAUUUAUUAAUAAUAAUAAUUAAUUGAUAAGUAUGGGUAAUCGAUUGAUUAUUGCUCACUAAUACUUUUCCGACUCUCUUAUCAUAUUUUUAGGAUGUUCCAAAUGCAGUCCUCUUCUUUUACUUUUCAUUAGAGUCCUCUGUAGUUCUUAAAUCAAAUCUGCCAAUUAAAUUAUUACUUAAUAUUGAAUUGAUUAAAUUCCACCUGGAGAGCGUUCUUGUAUGUUUUGUGUAUUUAAUAUAUAAUCUGACAGUUUGAUUGUAAAUUCAAGGCAGGUGUAAUGCUGUUGCAGCUUAUAAAUACACAGACACACAACAACAUUCAGACCAGCAACCUUUUAGCCAUAAGGAAUCAAUAAGGUUAAGUUAUCCCGGCAAUGAAAUGGUUAAACCACUGGGCCAGCACUAUGUAUGCAAUGUCCCAUAGCAACAGCCACCUAAUGAAGCCAUAUGUUGCUGUGUGUUAAACUUAUUUUUCCAGGGAGGAAUUGUCCUUGGAGAUUUACAUUUAUUAUCUCACAGGCAGUGAAUGGGUUAAAGUGCUUACCCCAAGCUCUCUGAAUAAGGAAUGGUUACAUCUGGUGCUUCUCCUGUAUCCCAGUCACAGCACUGGGGCACUGAUCAUAGUUAACCCCAACGUUGCUGAGCUGCUCUGCCUUGCUGGCUCUUAACAUCUUAGGCGCCAGAGAGCUUCUCAGCCCCAUCAACAUCUCUCACACAGUUAUAAAGCCCCUACUGAUACCGAUACCUUGUUAAAUCAUAGGCAGAGUCAGCCUGUUGGUUACCAUGGGGAUUGCUGCCUAUUUAUCAUUUUGUCCCGGAACAGCAAUUGCUUUUGUCUUGAUACAUCUCCCUAUAUUGUAGCAACCGCCUUGAAUACGUCUCACUUACUUCUUCUUCCCUCUAUUGUGUAAAUCACCUUUAUACAGUCUGCCUAUGUCCCAGGUAACUUUAAAAUCCAAUGUUUAAGCCACUUUGAAGUUUCAGGUGCAAUUGCUAAAAUAUGCAGUGCUUGUGCUACAUUCUGUGCUGUAUAUAGGCUUAAAUGAUUAACUUCGUAUUUUACAUUCAAAGCAUGUAUAUAAUCAAUUCUAGGCAAGUGUGUGAUUCCUCAUGUAAUAUAAUACUAUUAUUUUUUGCUAUAAUAGUAUAUUAGAAUAUUGUGUUACAGUAUGUCUAAAACCAACAUUCUUUUUAUCAAACGAAUAGAAAUGAACUAACAGCAAGUCAGAAACCCCUGUUCUGGAUAUUAUUUCUGUUGCUCUGUAGUUAUCCUACUGUGAGUAAUAUGUCAUCUGCUUAUUAUAUAUCCGCAUUAAUCAUGUGUUAUAAGGCUCAGCAGACCCCCUGCUAUAUAAAUGUCAGAUAUAUAACAUAUGAUUGCCUUAAGCUAUGUUUUAGUUAUACUGUAAAAGCUGCACUUAUUGCACUAUAUUAUAACAAAUAUCAACUCCCAGAGAUAUCUAACAUAGAGAAACACAAUGAUAUAAUUUCAUGCAUAUAAAUAUAUAAUACAACUAUGGAAUUGCUACAGUCCUAUAAAACCAGAGAUAUAAUUUUAUUCUGCAAUAUAGAAUCAGCUGUGUAUGUGAUAUAAUUCAAUGUAAAGCACAGAGAUAUGUUAUAUUGUAUAUAGUGCAGUAUCAGGCUAUUAUAUCAUAUAGUAUAUAUGCAAUAACUGCUUGGAUAUGGUAUAAUACAUUCUAAUAUAGAGUAACAGGGUACAUUACACAAUUCAGUGUACGUCACAGAGCUCUGUUAUAAUCCAGUGUCCUGUAAAGUCACCCAGAUGUAUAUUAUAUCAUAUAAUAGAAUAACAGGCAGCAGUAUGCUGUAAAGCAGCAUAAACUACAACAACCAAUGUUACCACUUAGCAUCAAUCAGAAUAUGAUAAAAUCCAAUCUAUAGUACAUUAACAGCCAUAUAAAUGUUACAUUCCAGUAUACAAAGUAUUAACAGCAGGGAUGCAAUAUAAUACAGAAUAUGACAGGGGGAGGACGGAGUGGGCGGCAUCUAGGCGGCCCACGGUCACAGGGGUCCUGGAUGCGGCCGGGCCCCCUUCAGUGAGGGGCCCAGUCACAGCUGCGACCCCUGCGACCAUAGUAGGUACACCACUGAUCCUGAGUGUUUUUUGCUUCAAGAUCAUAUAUAUACAAGUGUUAGGAAAUAUGCAAUGUUUGGUGUAUUUUUUUAACAAGAAGAUUGUCAUCAAAGUACUCCAACAGUGCUCCUCAACCCUCUCCUCAAGGCACAUCUAACAGACCAGGAUUUAGGGAUUACCCAGGUGUUUCUAAGCUGUUUAAAAAAAAACUAAAAAAAAAUAAAUACGCCUUAGACACCCAGGUAAUCAGUAGAGGGUUGAGGCGCAUUGCUCUAAAAGACACUAUAAACUGUUGCCCUGCUGUAGUAACAAACAUAUCCUCGAGGGCAUUUAUUCUGAUGUGUCAGAAAAUAAAGGUAAUCAGAUGUCAAAUGGAUCCUUUAUAGUUCUGUGUAUUCUGGAGUACAGGCGUGGCAUUUAUAUUGGCAAAGUAGAUUUGUCAUAUGCUGAUUAUUCCUCUAGUAUUGUACUGGUAAAACAACAUAGACAAUACAUACAAAUGCACCUAAAACUAUAACACACAAAUUAGAACUAACAACUAGUAAAUGCUGUCACUCAUAAAACCCCUUCGAAGAUUUAAGUAUAAACAAAAUACACAAAGAUGCAGCUAUAGCAACAGCUCCAUAUUACCAAUAUUUCAAAUUCCAUAAGAAAAUGCCAAUUUUCCAAAGGACAGAGCCUACCACAAAGUUCAUGUUUUCAGUUAAGAACUUUUUUUAUUAAUAAAACCAAUUUCAUGGCAUGACGAGGGUUAACAACACCACAAUCAGAUUUUCUAUAUAUCUUUUCUUAGUUGGAGACCACAUCUAGUCAGUGCAAAUAUCUUAUCGUAGUUAAUAAUUGACUGUGUGUUAGGGUAGUAAAGCUGAACUUUCUCUCACUGAGAGCAAAGCAAAUAUCAGCAGAUUGAAGGAGCGAGGCUAUGCUAAUAUGCAUUAAACGCACAAGAAACCUGCUCAAGUAGGUAGACUGGCACUUGGUUGGUUACAAGUCAUUAAAGAUCCAGGUGCCUCACUUCAGCAUUUGGACAGUAACUUAGUAACAUGAAAUAUCAGUAAAAGGAAUUCUGCCUGCAGAGUAUUAGAUCGACUUCUUUAAUAUUCAGGUAGCUGAGGCACACGUACUCGACUUUCACUGCUAAAGAUAGAAGACAAAAACCUCUUUGGAAUAUAAACCAUUGAAUAAAACAUUAAAAAUCACCUAUAACUUGUGUUAGCCUUUUUUUUCAUAAGACGCUCCUUCUUUUUUCAAUAUAGGUUAAAGAUUUAGCAAAUUAUGUAAUAAUCUAGUACAGACAAGGCAAAACCUCGGCAAACAUUGCAAAUGAAGAGGAGAAAUAGAAACAGUGUUUCAUUUCUGCCCUUUUCCUGUAUAUUUUUCUACAUAACUGGCAGGUACAAAGGGCGGAGCUUAUAGCUAAGUCAAUCAGGGAGCUAAGAUGGAGCCGCCCAGUUGCAGUGUAAAUAGGUGUAGAUUUUUACAUUUAAAUGUAAUUUUCACACCUAGAAAAUGCACAAUUUUUAAAUACAGAGAUAUGUAAACAUUAUAUUGGAAAAUUCUGGUGAAGUGACCGUCCCCCCUCUAAACUGUAUUUUUUAGAACUAUGUGGAUACAUUGAGUUAUGUUGGUAUAUUGAACAACUCCAAAUUGUUGUGAAUUGAAAACUGAAUUGCACUGUUUUGGCAUCACGUUCAGAUUUUGCAAAUGUCUCCAAGCUAAAGUAUUAGCCAUAGGUUAGCUAAUGUUGUGCUAAUGUUGCAAUUAAGUUUUUCAAUUCAGAAUUUCAUGAAAUAUGCCCAUGCUGUGUCUUGAAGAAAAUUAGCAAAAAGGAAACAAGUAAUCUUACGUCUAGACAAGAAACAACCCUUAUGAUUUUAAUUUACUAUUAAGAAAAGGCAAAUGAAGAUGUAUUUCUGAGAGAUUUUAAACUAUUAUUAAACUUUUAUUAUUUUAAUAUUAAUAUUUGAUAGUGUAUAGUUAUACAAGUCUUUAGAUCAAAGCUAAACCAAUUUGGAAAAAACCCCCAACAAAUAUUCGACCAGGACCAUCCAGACAGGAGAUUAACGUGACAAUGCCAAAGGUAACAAAACUGUUAUAUGUUCUCAUAUUUACUUAGCUUAUAGCUGACUUUCAAAAAAAAAAAAAAAAAAAAUGAAAGUAAUAGGGGCUUAUUCACUAAACUUUGAAUUGUAGACAUUUUAAAUACAUAUGGAAAACUAUAGGCAAAAUAGCUCACCUGGAAACAUUCUACAAAUAAGCUUUAGUCACAGCUCAGAUAUUUUUGCUUUAAUUUUGCAGUUUUGAAAUUUUUUUAUUUUUUUUUAUAAUUUGGAAUUGAUAACUCAGAUUGCCCUGAGGGUAGGUUCUGCCCAUACUGCAGUGAAAGGGUUAAUGCAGGAUAAUGCACACAUACAAGGGUAAGGACGUCUGUUGAUCUUAAUAAAACCAGGGUGACUGUUUUCAUUGAGGCCUAAUUGCCAGUGAAAUGAUUUCACGAGGAAUCGAUACGAUACAAAUCCAUGAGAGAAUGGGCAGCCAAUCAAAGGUAGGAGGAAAACAGAUAACAUCUUCCACUGAACCAGUUCAACAUUUGUAUCCUCAGUGAAUAGCAAUGUAACCUGCAGAGACUCUCUGUUCCAAGAAGACAAUAGUAAUGACUACUAUUUAUUGACUGACUGCGUGGAGCUCCCAUUGAUCCAAAGUUCAGGCUUUCAGACCUGCCAUGCGGUUCAAGACCCAUAUCAAUGCUGACAGUCAGUGAAUGAAAUGUCCUGUCCUGUGGUAUGUGGCAUUGAUAUGCUACAGGAAAUCACUUGAGUAUUCCUUCCCUGAUAAAAUUUGUUGUACACGACACUUGUGCAUGGCAAAAGAAAUCUGUUCGUCCGAAAAAUAUUUUUUCAAAAAUUAAAGUUACUUCGGGAAAGGUUCAGGUGCGAAAAUGGGCCAAUUGAUGUAAUGCAGAAUAUAUACUUAAUAUAAAUAUGGUGUAUAUAAUUUGUGAUACCCUGAUUGGUGCAUUUCCCAACCAUUUGGUUCAAGUGAGAAAAAGUAACCAAUAGGAGGAAAAAGAGGAGGAUUAUUAAAAAUAUAUAUAUAUCUAUAUUUAUGAAUUACAUAUCUUUAUUAAAUAGAAAAUAUAUAAAAUAUUUUUUUUAACUUUAACUUAAUUUUUCCCUCUAUUGGUUACAUUUAGUGUCGGUCCCCUAGCGCUUUCCCCAUCAAUCAUCUCUUUUUUUGGUGCUACAGGUGAACCUUUGAAUCCCAAAGCAAACGAAAAUACUCAUCCAUCGCGCUAGUUGCUUCGAAUAUACGGCAUUUGGCCCAACGGCUAAUCAACCUAAAUUUGGAUGAACUCCAAUUCGUCCAGAGCCAAAUGCACACAUCUAUUAUACAUAAUGCAAAUCAGCAUUUCUUAUGUACAGCCCAAAAGAAGAAGAAGAGAUAGGAAUCCAAGAUGAUAUGGUGGAGCUGGAUUAUACAUAGAAACAUAGAAUGUGACGGCAGAUAAGAACCAUUCGGCCCAUCUAGUCUGCCCAAUUUUCUAAAUACUUUCAUUAGUCCCUGGCCUUAUCUUCGAGUUAGGAUAGCCUUAUGCCUAUCCCACGCAUGCUUAAACUCCUUUACUUGAUCAGACAUUGGAAGAUGGUGGUAAAACCUAUAACGUUUUUAUAAAUGGUAUAAGGCCACUUCAAAGUGACCACUAAAGUCACCCUGACCACUUCAUCUCAAUGAAGUGGCUUGGUUGCAGUGGUCCUGUCAGUUUCACCAUUCAAGGUAAAACAUUGCCAUUUUGUAGAAACUGUUUCCCUUGAAGACUUAAACACAACUCCACCGACAACCACUAGAGGCGCUUCUGCUGUGCUGACCGAGUAAAACUCAGUUGUGAUGCAGGAGCCCCCAUAGGAAAGCAUUAAGUUUGUAUGUUCCCCUUUUACAGUGGCGUACUAAGGGGGGGUGGGGUCUGACUGAUUGUGUGUGACUGUCUGUGAUUGUGUUAUGUGUAUGUAUGACUGUCUGCCUGUGAUUGUGUGUGUUACUGUGUGUGUGUGACUGUUUGCCUGUGAUUGUGUGUGUCACUGUGUGUGUGUGUCACUGUGUGUGUGUGACUGUUUGCCUGUGAGUGUCUGUGUUACUCUGUGUGUGUGUGUGUGACUGCCUGUGAUUGUGUGUGUCACUGUGUGUGUGUGUCACUGUUUGCCUGUGAUUGUGUGUGUCACUGUCUGUGUGUGUCACUGUGUGUGUGUGUGACUGUUUGCCUGUGAUUGUCUGUGUUACACUGUGUGUGUGUGUGUGUGUGACUGUCUGCCUGUGAUUGUGGGUGUGUGUGUGUGAGUGACUGUCUGUGACUGUGUGUGUGUGUGUGUGUGUGACUGUCUGCCUGUGAUUGUGUGUGUGACUGUCUGUGACUGUGUUCUGUGUAUGUGUGACUGUCCGUGAUUGUGUGUGUGACUGUCUGUGAAUCUGUGUAUGUGUGACUGUCUGCCUGUUUGAUUGCCUGCGUAUUUGACUGUCUGCCUGUAACUGUGUGUGAGUGACUGUGUGUGGGACUGUGUGCAUCUGACUGUGUCUGACGGUCUUCGCCCUGCAGUGAGCCGGCAGCCA
rnacentral:lncRNA from 1 species